GUGCUCGCUUCAGCAGCACAUAUACUAAAAUUGGAAUGAUACAGAGAUGACCAGCAUGGCUCCUGAACAAGGAUGACAUGUAAAAAGUUAUCCUCUCUG
rnacentral:snRNA from 1 species